rnacentral:rRNA from 1 species
GACGAACGCUGGCGGUGUGCCUAAUACAUGCAAGUCGAACGCUUCUUUCCUCCCGAGUGCUUGCACUCAAUUGGAAAGAGGAGUGGCGGACGGGUGAGUAACACGUGGGUAACCUACCCAUCAGAGGGGGAUAACACUUGGAAACAGGUGCUAAUACCGCAUAACAGUUUAUGCCGCAUGGCAUAAGAGUGAAAGGCGCUUUCGUGUGUCGCUGAUGGAUGGACCCGCGGUGCAUUAGAUAGUUGGUGAGGUAACGGCUCACCAAGGCAACGAUGCAUAGCCGACCUGAGAGGGUGAUCGGCCACACUGGGACUGAGACACGGCCCAGACUCCUACGGGAGGCAGCAGUAGGGAAUCUUCGGCAAUGGACGAAAGUCUGACCGAGCAACGCCGCGUGAGUGAAGAAGGUUUUCGGAUCGUAAAACUCUGUUGUUAGAGAAGAACAAGGACGUUAGUAACUGAACGUCCCCUGACGGUAUCUAACCAGAAAGCCACGGCUAACUACGUG